rnacentral:lncRNA from 1 species
GAUAAGCCUUUUGGAAUGAUUCAGAGUAACCAUGCGACUUGAUGAAGCCUUGCAAUGUUUCACGGUGACUUGUAUCUUGGUUGUCUUCUAGCACCUCAAAGCAUCAGUUUUAAACUUGGUUACUUCCCAGAACAUCAUGUUCCAAAAGCGAGGAUUCAGUAGAUUCUUCUUUUGUGAAAACAAACUUGACAAACCAUUUCUAGUGCCCCAUUCAUAGCCAUGACCAUCGUCUAAGCUCACUGAGAAUGACAUAUCAGAAACCUCCAUAUCAACUUCAAGUGUCUUAAACAGCUCCAUCAUGUUGGGAGACUUACCCCAUUGAAGACCAUGAAUCCCAGGUCCAGAUCAAUGCCAUCCACAAGCACGGUCUUUGCAUGACCACCAAGGUGACCCUGCUUCU